rnacentral:tRNA from 2 species
GGUUCGGUGGCGGAACUGGCAGACGCGCAGCACUUAAAAUGCUGUCUCCGCAAGGAGGUGUGGGUUCGACUCCCUCCCGAACCA